GCGUUUCAAUUACCAAGUUAUCGUUUUUAGAAACUGCAGGUAAACUCUCUGAAGAUGAUAACCUGAUUAUCAAAACACACGUCAGACAGUGUAAUUGUCAUCAAAAAAGAUUGAAACAUUUACAUUUCCGGGGAAAGGAGAACUAUCCAUUGCGGUUUCCAUGAUGUCUCGAUUUUCCACCUACUAUACUUAUUCACAUUAUACAAAUACAACAAUCAAUUUGAUAAAAAACAACACAUUUCACGAAAAAAACGUCAAAAAAGCUUUUUUAUCGCCAUUCCACCAUCACCGUCAGCUUGCAUUUUUGACAAUAUUUGACAGAAGUUGAGGUUAGUGUGGGUUAAUGGCGUACUUCGGAGCGCGAAAUUUGAAAUUACGAUCGUAAUACCUGUUUUUGAAAUAAAUUUUACAAGUGAAUUUUUUGGAAUUGAAAUGGUUAAAAAAGGCGUAUUAUCUAUUCGAAUUAAAUAUGACCUUGAUAAAUCUAGAAAUAAGAAAAUACUAUCGCAUGCAAUUUAAAAUAUCCCAAUAAAAAUAAAUUAUCAUCAGGACAAAAA